rnacentral:lncRNA from 1 species
CCAGGGCUUGCACCCAAGGACCAACACCUCCCAUCUCCUGUUCAGCAAUCUGACACAAUGCAUCGCAAGUUUGCUUACAAAGAGCUCAGUAACUCCACUUUCAGUUUACAAGUCAGGAAAUUCAAAGAUCGAGGAAGACUGACUUGCCUGGGGACAUCUAACAGGCCCGGGGCAGAGGAAAAUGACUGAGAUCUUUUGAGCCCCAAUUCAGAGCUCUGGAGCUGCUCUCUGAACAUACAGCUGAACAUACUUGAAAGACUACGAUGAAGACCAAACUCCUCAUGGCAAAAGCUGAUUGGGGACAGACUGCAUGGCUGGUGAGACAUGUUCCAAAAAAAUGCAUCUUCCUAGGAACUACAGCAUAACUAACCAUCGAUGCGUGGUCAAAUGAGAAGAUGAAUGCAGCUGUGUCUGUGCUCUGGUCUGUUCUUGUCUCACAUCUACUACCUAAUCCAAAGGAGAAGAUCGGCUAGCUCAUGACAUACGGCGUUAUUCAAUUUCACAUGAAAGCAGGAAGCCAGCUUUCCAUUUGUCUAGCGCUGACCUGGCAUCCACUGAUGGAAAAGGAUUUUGCCUUGAUAGUGCCUAAACUUUGGAGGAAGAAGCUUUCUGCUUUCAUCAGAAGGUCACACAUGACAGCUGACCUGGGCCAUAAUAGAAUGAAGAACCUGAAAUCUUUUUGCAUCACUGUUAUUGUUGGACCAGUCAAACUCUGAUUAUGGGUACCUCUCCUUUCCACUCCUUGGUUUGGAUCAAGUUGUUGCGAAUACACAUCAAACACCAACAUGAAAGUUCAGACAUCCAAGCGAGUGUGCAUGCAGUUCGUCAGAAGCUGGUGUUGACCACAGAGGCAAAUAAAACAGCUACUCAAGUAUUUGCA